rnacentral:rRNA from 1 species
UACGUAGGUGGCAAGCGUUGUCCGGAUUUACUGGGCGUAAAGAGCGCGCAGGCGGUCGUUCAAGUCGAGUGUGAAAGCCCCCGGCUCAACUGGGGAGGGUCACUCGAUACUGAUCGACUCGAAGGCAGAAGAGGGAAGCGGGAAUUCCCGGUGUAGUGGUGAAAUGCGUAGAUAUCGGGAGGAACACCAGUGGCGAAGGCGGCUUUCUGGUCUGCUCUUGACGCUGAGGCGCGAAAGCUAGGGUAGCAAACGGGG